GGUUUUCUAAGUCACGUGUGAAAUCUUCCGGCUCAACCGGAAAACUGCGCGUGAUACUGGAUAACUUGAGUGAGGUAGGGGUGUGUGGAACUUCCGGUGGAGCGGUGAAAUGUGUAGAGAUCGGAAGGAACGCCAGCAGCGAAAGCGGCACACUGGGACCUUAUCUGACGCUGAGGCACGAAAGCUAGGGGAGUGAACGGGAUUAGAUACCCCGGUAAUCCUAGCCGUAAACACUGAACACUGGAGGACGGGGGCUUCGGCCUUCGUUCUCGUAGCGAAAGCGUUAAGUGUUCCGCCUGGGGAGUAUGGUCGCGAAGCUGAAACUCAAAGGAAUUGACGGGGGCUCACACAAACGGUGGAGCAUGUGGCUUAAUUCGAGGCAACGCGAAGAACCUUAUCCUGGGUUUGACAUGCAUGGAUUAACCCUAUGAAAGUAGGGCCACGCUCGCAAGAGUGGAACAUGCACAGGUGCUGCAUGGCUGUCGUCAGCUCGUGUCGUGAGAUGUCGCGUUAAGUCGCUAAACGAGCGAAACCCUUAUCUUUAGUUGCCAGCACGUUAUGGUGGGGACUCUAAGGAGACUGCCGGUGUCAAACCUGAGGAAGGCGGGGAUGACGUCAAGUCCUCAUGGCCUUUAUGCCCAGGGCUGCACACGUGCUACAAUGGGGCGUACAAAGCGCUGCAGUCCGCGAGGACAAGCGAAUCGCAAAAAGCGUCCCCCAGUUCGGAUUGCAGGCUGCAACUCGCCUGCAUGAAGCCGGAAUCGCUAGU
rnacentral:rRNA from 1 species